UACGGGGGGGGCAAGCGUUGUUCGGAAUUACUGGGCGUAAAGGGCUCGUAGGUGGCCACCUAAGUCCGACGUGAAAUCCCUCGGCUUAACCGGGGAACUGCGUCGGAUACUGGGUGGCUUGAAUCCGGGAGAGGGACGUGGAAUUCCAGGUGUAGCGGUGAAAUGCGUAGAUAUCUGGAGGAACACCGGUGGCGAAGGCGGCGUCCUGGACCGGAAUUGACACUGAGGAGCGAAAGCCGGGGGAGAAAACGGAAUAAGAUACCCCGGUGGUCCUGGCCCUAAACGAGGAGUGCUUGGGGUGGGGGGUAUGGAUCCCCGCCGUGCCGGAGCUAACGCGUUAAGCACUCCGCCUGGGGAGUACGGUCGCAAGGCUG
rnacentral:rRNA from 1 species